rnacentral:tRNA from 1 species
UCUCUGGUGGUCCAGUGGUUAGGACUCUGCACUGCCAAUGCUGUGGCCCGGAGUUCAAUCCCUGGUUGGAGAA